GAGGGAAAGGUGAAAAGUACCCCGGGAGGGGAGUGAAAUAGUACCUGAAACCGUGCGCCUACAAGCGGUCGGAGCGCGCAAGCGUGACGGCGUGCCUUUUGCAUAAUGAACCUGCGAGUUGCCGUGGCCGGCGAGGUUAAGGGGGACGACCCCCGCAGCCGUAGCGAAAGCGAGUCUUAAUAGGGCGCAUGUCGGCCGCGGCAGACGCGAAACCGAGUGAUCUACCCUUGUCCAGGAUGAAGUCCGGGUAACGCCGGAUGGAGGUCCGCACCGAUAAGCGUUGAAAAGCUUCCGGAUGAGGUGAGGGUAGGAGUGAAAGGCCAAUCAAACUCGGAGAUAGCUCGUACUCCCCGAAAUGCAUUUAGGUGCAGCCUCGUCGUUUAGUGCAGAGAGGUAGAGCGACUGAUAAGAUGCGAGGGCUUCACCGCCUAUCAAGUCUUGCCAAACUCCGAAUGCUCUGCAGUAUCACGCCGGGAGUGAGGCAAGACU
rnacentral:rRNA from 1 species